UUUCCCCUUUCUCUCAUUUGCUUGCCCGUUGGCAGUGUCGGAACCUCUAUUGCAACGGCCGGCGUCGACCCUCAUCUUCUCCCUUAGGUCCUGGAUCCAGUGGUGUCCUCGAUCUGGUGCGGCCUCCAUCAACAUUGCCGUGUAGUUCCAACAGGCGGCGGUGGGAUUUGAUUUUGGGGCUGAUUGGACUUGAAGCGGAGGCAGACAUCGAGCUUGUAGCGGAGGAGCGAGCGAGGGGGCCCUUGACGGAUCUGCAAGACUAGGAUCGGCCGCCACGAAGACGUGUACGUCGUCACCGUCCAGGCUGCAAACGACUCCAGCUCCUCUAGGACCACGGUCUGGACAGGAGUCAAUUUUUUGGUUAUUUCUCCCUGUUUUUGCUGAGGAUAUUUGUGGCAAUUAUUUUUGGUACAGAAGAAUAGAACGCCGAUGUGUUUUUAUAUAUAUUUAGCUAUUUUGCAUCGUACAUAAUUUUCUCAAAUUUUUUAAGACAUCAUAACAAAGUUUUUAUUUUUUAUUGGUUUUUUUGAAUUGUUAACCUCGUAUAAAUUAUUAUGGAACACAAGAUAUAUGAAUUCUAAAAUAGUACUUUUAUAUUUAUUUAGAUGUGAAAUCAUUCCCCCGCCCUUUUCACACCCACAAACCCGCUGUCCCAAAAGAGAAAAAGAAAAGCUUGCAGAUUCUAGAAUUAGCCAAUUGGCCUAGAAUCUAGACAGGAGAAACUGUGUUGGGCCAGAAAAACACCGUGCGCUGCUUCCUAUCCGUAUGGUUGUGCGUCGGCCUGCAUCACGUCGCGAUCGUUCCCAGCGCGUGCGCGUAGGAAGAGUCAUUGCCCAUACAGGCAUAGGCACACCGUGUAUGCACCCUCUAGGGAGGCAACGCAGCCGGUGGUAGCCAUGCCUCUCCCCACGACCUGCGCAAUUGGCAGCGACGAUGCCUGAGGCGCCUGCGCAUGCAGCCUGGCGGCAGUUAGGGAAGCCCAUGCGGCUAAUGGGCAAGGGCGCCCGCACGCACGCUUUGCACCACCUAGCGCGGCAGUCAACCUAGGCCAGUUCAUGCACGCCUGCAGCUGCACCAGCCUCUACACUCUCGCAUCUACAGCGACUGUGGCCAAUCGAGCUAGAGCUGCACGUUGGUGGCGGGCAGCACGGAUCUGCACCUCAGGCAACAAUGGCGGUCACCAUGCCAGCAGCAGCAACAGGGCCCGAGGCUCCUGCACGCAUGCGCCUCCGAGACAAGGGCGGGCAGAGGCUAGUCGUGUUAUAAAACAUAUUGCCAGUAGUUGAACCUUUCCCUCUCCGUCUCUUAUGAUCAAUAUAGUAGAUGAAAAUAGAAGAACAAAUAGACACAACAUAGGGAGGCUAUUCUUUAUUUCUCUGAAUAUUAGUGAUUACAACAUAGAGCUCCCACGUAUAUAUAGUCCUGCCAAGGCCUAAGAGUUUUGGUAAGAGCGCACAUACAAACGGACUAAGAUUAUGAUUUCUCCUCCUUUCCUUCUAGGUAUAUUUUACAACACUCCCCCUUGGGCAAUUACCACGAUAUGCACAUGCCUCAUUAAAAACUUCAUCCAAAAACCCAAUGGGAAAAAACAAUUCUUAGAGAAAAGAGUACAUCGCAUUCGUUAAUUGUAUUGCCCAUGUUGUCUCAUAUAAAACCUUAUGUGA